AAUGGAAUUGCUGGAUCAUAUGGUAACUGUAUUGAACUUUUUUAGGAAUUGCCAAAUUGUUUUCCACAGCAGCUGGACCAUUUACAUUUCCACCAGCAAU
rnacentral:pre_miRNA from 1 species